GGCGGUUUGUCCGAGUGGUUAAGGAGUUGGACUUGAAAUCCAAUGGGCUUUGCCCGCGCAGGUUCGAACCCUGCAGCCGUCG
rnacentral:tRNA from 2 species